GCCGAAGUGGUGGAACUGGUAGACACGCUAUCUUGAGGGGGUAGUGGCCGAAAGGCCGUGGGAGUUCGAGUCUCCCCUUCGGCACCA
rnacentral:tRNA from 1 species